rnacentral:lncRNA from 1 species
GGGCUGCUACGCUCCCACCUGCCGGCUCGCCCAGGUGCGCCGGGGCCGCCACGCCCGGGCCUGUCCAGCCCUGCGCUCCCGCGCUUCCGCCCGGCCCGACGGAGCCACUGCGGCAGGUGCGGCCCAGGCACGGGGUCGGGGCUGCCCAGCGGGACCCCGGUGCCUCCCAGCCGAGCGCGGGCCAGCGGCGGGGCUGGUGGGUCCAAGCAGGAGCGGGGAGGCAGUGCUUCCCAGUUCCCUCCAGCCCCGGUCUCCGUAGGAAGAGCUCCCUGUGACUGUGAACACACAGGAAAGCAGAACAAAACCCCACAACCUCUUCAUUAUGGAAAAUGUCAAACAUGCAGGAAAGAAUUGAACAGAGUAAGCCAGCGCUUCUCACACUUCAGUGUGCUCAGGAAUCCCCUGGGCAUUUUAUUUGAUUAAAAUACAGAUCCUGACUCAGUAGGUUUGGGGUGGAGCCGAGAUUCUGCAUUUCUAGCCAGCUCCCAGGUCUGAGGCUUCUGAACCACAUCUGAUAGGAGGUUCUAAUGAACCCCCGUGACCCCAAUUCCCCAGCAACCACAACUCAUAAUCAAUUUUAUUUCAUCCACAUUCCUCUCCCACCAUCGUUUUGAAGCAAAACCCAGGCGUCAUAUCAUUUUAUUCAUAAAUAUUUUUGUAUCUCUAAAACGUAAGGAUUUUUAAAAGUACGUAUCCACAAUACUAUAUAUAUAUAUUUUUUGAGACUCUGUCGGAGUGCAGUUGCCAUCUCGGCUCACUGCAACCUCCGCCUCCCGGGUUCAAGCAAUUCUCUGCCUCCGCCUCCCGAUUAGCUAGGAUUGUAGGUGCCUGCCACCAAACCCGGCUAAUUUUUGUAUUUUUAAUAGAGAUGGGGUUUCACCAUCUUGGCCAGGCUGGUCUUGAACUCCUGACCUCGUGAACCACCCGCCUCGGCCUCCGAAAGUGUUGGGAUUACAGGCGUGAGCCACCGCGCCUGGCCCACAAUACAUUCUUAAACCUAAAAUUAAUAGCACUAAUUCUAUAAUACCAAAUAUCCACGCAGGUUCAAAUGUGCAGGAUUUUUGUUUGUUUUUGACAUGGAGUCUCACUCUAUUGCCUAGGCUGGAGUGCAGUGGCGCCAUCUCAGCUCACUGCAACCUCCGCCUCCCAGGUUCAAGCAAUUCUCCUGCCUCAGCCUCCUGAGCAGCUGGGAUUAUAGGCAUGGCCAGCUAAUUUUUGUAUUUUUAGUAGAGACAGGGUUUCACCAUGUUGGCCAGGCUGGUCUCGAACUCCUGAACUCAGGUGAUCCGCCCGCCUCGGCCUCCCAAAGUGCUAGGAUUACAGGCAUGAGCCACCGAGCCUAGCCAGCCUCUGGAAACUUGAUGGGGUGCUGGGCUCCUCCUGCAAGGCCAUCUCCCCAACCUUGUCUCCCCAUUACCUCUUCCCCUUCUCAGGGGCAAGGGCUGGUCAGCAGACUUAGGGCUCAAGCAGAACAUCCAUCCCAGCAGCAAAAGAUAAGGCACCAUCAGCCAGGUGCGGUGGCUCAUGCUUGUAAUCCCAACACUUUGGGAGGCCGAGGCAGGCAGAUCACCUGAGGUCAGGAGUUCGAGACCUGCCUGGCCAACAAGGUGAAACCCUAUCUCUACUAAAAAUACAAAAAUUAGCCGGGCAUGGUGGUGCUUGCUUGUAAUCCCAGCUACUUGGGAGGCUGAAGCAGGAGAAUCACUUGAACCCAGGACGCAGAGGUUGCAGUGAGCCGAGAUCGUGCCACUGCACCCCAGCCUGGGCAACAAGAGUGAAACUGCAUUUCAAAAAGAACGAAAGGAAGGCAGGAAGGAAGGAAGGAAGGAAGGAAGGGAGGGAGGGAGGGAGGGAGGGAGGGAGGGAGGAGAGAGAGAGAGAGAAAGAGAGACAAGAAAGAAAAGGCACCCUCCCCCACUCCCCUGCACCUCCUCCACCUCCUCCUCUCUCCCCUCCUUCAGCUUUAGCACCCCCUGGUGGAAGACGGGGGUGGGGACAGCUCUGUGAGUCGGGCACCUCUCAGCCAGCCUUCUGGGUUCGGGAUGACAGGCUUCCCCUCUUCACACCUCCCUCCCCACACCAUCCGGUCCACACUCCCCGUUCCACUCCACCCCUAAGGCCUGCCUCCCUGCACCCAGCCCACAUGUCACCCUCCACUCCACCCUACAAAGAUGUGGCUGGGGUAAGGUCUGGUGCCCAGGCCUCCGCUCUGUUUGAUCUCGGCCUUGUCCUUGGUAGCAUUCAGCAUAAUAUUAAUCUGCAUUGUCUCCUGUGACAUGUCCCUCUCCACCUCUGGACAAUGACUCUGUAAGGGCGAGGGCAGUAUUCUGGCCACUGCUGAGCCCCCUGGCACUGUGCCUGGCCCAUUGUAGCUGCUCAGUAAAGACUUAGUGACUGAACCAACCAAGGAGUUUUGUGUCUCUUCUGGGUACUACCCAUAGGAGGAAGAUGUGGCUUGAAGACCCAAAUGGUGGGACCGAGUAAGCAAUAGUAGGGGAAUAUGCUUGGCUAGCCUACCACAGGGUGGGAUCUGGGAUGUGUGGUCACUGUUCAGUCUGAUACAAUCUGUCCUAGGAUGUUUCUGAUUUUGCUGUUCUUCCCUUGCUCCCUGAGGGAAGGCCUAGAGGCCUCAUCCUUGUGGGGCCCCCAAGGUCCUAGCAUGAGGCUGGACCUUCGUAUGGUGGUGAAAGAACCAGAGUGUACAACCUGAAUCUGAGGCCUCUUCUCUUGCCACGAAUUUGCACCAUCCACUCCAAAGCAGGUUCCUCCCUGUGGACAGCCCUCCUCACCACUCCCACUGAAGCUCUGCAUGAGCCAGAUCCUCUCCCUAUGGAAUUGUCCACCUUUCCUUCCUUCCUCUUUCCUUCCCUCCCUCCCUCUCUCCCUCCCUUCCUUCUUUCCAAGCCUAACUCUAAACUCACAUCUACAAGGAGGUGUUCCCGAGUGAACUCUAGAUCCA